rnacentral:rRNA from 1 species
AUGCACGCUGGCGGCGUGCCUCAUCCAUGCAAGUCGAGCGAACGGACGAGAAGCUUGCUUCUCUGAUGUUAGCGGCGGACGGGUGAGUAACACGUGGCUAACCUACCUAUAAGACUGGGAUAACUUCGGGAAACCGGAGCUAAUACCGGAUAAUAUUUUGAACCGCAUGGUUCAAAAGUGAAAGACGGUCUUGCUGUCACUUAUAGAUGGAUCCGCGCUGCAUUAGCUAGUUGGUAAGGUAACGGCUUACCAAGGCAACGAUGCAUAGCCGACCUGAGAGGGUGAUCGGCCACACUGGAACUGAGACACGGUCCAGACUCCUACGGGAGGCAGCAGUAGGGAAUCUUCCGCAAUGGGCGAAAGCCUGACGGAGCAAUGCCGCGUGAGUGAUGAAGGUCUUCGGAUCGUAAAACUCUGUUAUUAGGGAAGAACAUAUGUGUAAGUAACUGUGCACAUCUUGACGGUACCUAAUCAGAAAGCCACGGCUAACUACGUG